rnacentral:rRNA from 1 species
GUGGGGAAUAUUGGACAAUGGGGGCUACCCUGAUCCAGCCAUGCCGCGUGAGUGAUGACGGCCUUCGGGUUGUAAAGCUCUUUUACAUGGGAAGAUAAUGACGGUACCAUGAGAAUAAGCACCGGCAAACUUCGUGCCAGCAGCCGCGGUAAUACGAAGGGUGCAAGCGUUGUUCGGAAUUACUGGGUGUAAAGGGCGUGUAGGCGGAUUAGUUAGUUAGUGGUGAAAUCCUUGGGCUCAACCUGAGAACUGCCAUUGAUACAGCUAGUCUGGAGUAUUAGAGAGGAUGACGGAAUAUCCAGUGUAGAGGUGAAAUUCGUAGAUAUUGGAUAGAACACCGGUGGCGAAGGCGGUCAUCUGGCUAAUUACUGACGCUGAGGCGCGAGAGCGUGGGGAGCAAACAGGAUUAGAAACCCGGGUAGUCC